rnacentral:rRNA from 1 species
GUUUCCUCCUCCUCUUUAAUACGUAGGUGGCGAGCGUUGUCCGGAAUUACUGGGUGUAAAGGGCGCGUAGGCGGGGAUGCAAGUCAGAUGUGAAAUUCCGGGGCUCAACCCCGGCGCUGCAUCUGAAACUGUAUUUCUUGAGUGCUGGAGAGGAAAGCGGAAUUCCUAGUGUAGCGGUGAAAUGCGUAGAGAUUAGGAGGAACACCAGUGGCGAAGGCGGCUUUCUGGACAGUAACUGACGCUGAGGCGCGAAAGCGUGGGGAGCAAACAGGAUUAGAUACCCUGGUAGUCCACGCCGUAAACGAUGGAUACUAGGUGUAGGAGGUAUCGACCCCUUCUGUGCCGGAGUUAACACAAUAAGUAUCCCACCUGGGGAGUACGGCCGCAAGGUUGAAACUCAAAGAAAUUGACGG